rnacentral:rRNA from 1 species
UGGGGAAUAUUGCACAAUGGGCGCAAGCCUGAUGCAGCGACGCCGCGUGAGGGAUGACGGCCUUCGGGUUGUAAACCUCUUUCAGCACAGACGAAGCGCAAGUGACGGUAUGUGCAGAAGAAGGACCGGCCAACUACGUG